GACGUCAAUAUUUAAGUCACAAGCUGCCGGCUCACUCCUCACAACGACCGCAGCUCAUGUCUUUGUCCAGACGACAACCCGAGAUAACUGUUGGCAAGAUCGAACAAGAGUUGCACGCUUACACUGAACUCCUUCUGAUCUUUUCUUGGACCUGAUCUUCAAGUCUUCAAGAGCGAACCAUCGAGAUGAAGAUCUGCGUGGCCACCAUUCUGUCA